rnacentral:rRNA from 1 species
GUGGGGAAUCUUAGACAAUGGGCGCAAGCCUGAUCUAGCCAUGCCGCGUGAGCGAUGAAGGCCUUAGGGUUGUAAAGCUCUUUCGUGGGGGAAGAUAAUGACUGUACCCCAAGAAGAAGCCCCGGCUAACUCCGUGCCAGCAGCCGCGGUAAUACGGAGGGGGCUAGCGUUGUUCGGAAUUACUGGGCGUAAAGUGCACGUAGGCGGACUGGAAAGUCAGGGGUGAAAUCCCGGGGCUCAACCCCGGAACUGCCUUUGAAACUCCCAGUCUUGAGUUCGAGAGAGGUGAGUGGAAUUCCGAGUGUAGAGGUGAAAUUCGUAGAUAUUCGGAGGAACACCAGUGGCGAAGGCGGCUCACUGGCUCGAUACUGACGCUGAGGUGCGAAAGCGUGGGGAGCAAACAGGAUUAGAUACCCGGGUAGUC